ACUCCUACGGGAGGCAGCAGUAGGGAAUCUUCCACAAUGGGCGCAAGCCUGAUGGAGCAACACCGCGUGAGUGAAGUAAGGGUUCGGCUACGUAAAGCUCUGUUAGUUAAAGAAGAACACGUAUGAGAGUAACUGUUCAUACGUUGACGGUAUUAACCAGAAAGUCACGGCUAACUACGUGCCAGCAGCCGCGGUAAUACGUAGGUGGCAAGCGUUAUCCGGUAUUUAGUUGGGCGUAAAAGAGAGUGCAGGUCGGUUUUCUAAGUCUGAUGUGAAAGCCUUCGGCUUAACCGGAGAAGUGCAUCGGAAACUGGAUAACUUGAGUGCAGAAGAGGUAGUGGAACUCCAUGUGUAGCGGUGGAAUGCGUAGAUAUAUGGAAGAACA
rnacentral:rRNA from 1 species